rnacentral:tRNA from 1 species
GGCGCAUUCGUCUAGGGGUCUAGGACACCGCCCUCUCAAGGCGGAGAUCGGGGGUUCGAAUCCCCCAUGCGCUACCA